UUGGAGCAGGGCUCUGUGGUGACUCAUCGGCAGGCUGAGUCAGUUCAGGGAGCUGCAGAUACCAGCUGAAAGCACCAAGACAAGCACAGAGAGCAGCUACUAGAAGAGGCUGAGCAGAGAUGAUGAGGUCACCGCGUUAAACUAAGUGAUGACACAACCCACAGAUUAGUAAACAUGCCAGGCUUUGUUACCCAUCUGGCUCAGGCAAAGAUGUUAUAAAUGUUUAGCAAGAGCUACUUACAUUGCUGCUUUCUCUGCAUUAAUGAUGGAAAAUAACUGGAAGGUGUUUGCUCUCAUUUCGUCCAGAACAUAGCCUCAAGCCUUAUCAACUAACACCUAUCCUGACUCUUAUUGCUUUUAAAGUGAAUACUAUCAAAAAGAUCCAAAUCAUUGCAUCCGAGUUCCUACAACAGUGAUGUAUCUAAAAGGAUACCACCUUGGAAGAAAGCUACUGCAACACUGGCUUCUUUCCUCUGAAAGUGAAUGAAGUCUUGCCUCUUGUCCCUAAGUCCAUACAUAUGUCCUGGGCUGCCUCAUCCCAGGAGCAGAAUUUGGCACUUGCUUCUGUUCAGCUUCAUGCACUUGGUGACUGCCCAGGCUUGACAUAUGGCAAGAUCUCCCUGCAAGGCCAUCUACCCUUGAGGGUGUCAACAGCUCCUCCAGUUCAGUGGCAUCCUUAAACUUAGCUUACACUCAAGUCCUGCAUCCAGACACCAUCUCCAGACCAAGCCUUUCCUUGACAGAUUAAGCACUUGAUCCUGUAAAGAAGAGUGUGACUGAAAAGGCUUAAAGAUCAUCACUGACAGCUUGCUUUCUAACAUCCUAAAAUACCCAAUAAAGAAGUCAAAGAGGGGUUGCACAUCUCCUGUUUAUGCCAUCUAAAAAAUGCACUAAGUUUCUUGGUCUAGUUAGACCUACAGAGCAGUGUCUUAAAGACUGCUGACACUGCAGAGCACUACUUGGGCACACAGCUACUUCUUCUAUCAUCUGUAAAGAACCACGUAUACUUUAAAUUAGUACACGCACGAUCAGUUCCAGCAGAGGAGGCAAGACCUUUGUGACAGCUUACAAACUUCUGAGAGCUCUCUGUAGUACAGCUCUGCAGAAGGAAACUCAGCUGACAGAAUGCACUUGGAUUUUUACAAUGUUCUCAAGAAGGGGGCUUACAAGAAUGAAGGUAUCAUACAAAUAAAUAGAGAAUAAUGCGUGGGGCAGUAACUAAGAAACAUCACACCGGGCUGUAAAUACACCAUCAAUGAAAACGAAACGUGUUGUCAGACAGUUUCAUGAAUACAUUGGGUCAAUUUUCAGGAAGCAGUAAUGUAACAAAAAGAUUAUCAAUAAUUAUGAAAGUAAUCUGUGAUGUAACGGAAACAAACAUAACUAUGCAAUAAUAAUCCCUCUGGAUAUGACAUAAAAAUCCCUCUGGGCUGUUCUGAAUUCCUCAGUUCAAAAGCUUUACAACUAAAGGCACUGAAAGCAGCAAUGAGAACAAUAAAAACUGUGGAACAGUGUACAAGAAACAAGCCACAGAGGAGAGAAGGGUUAGGGAUAUUGGAGGAGGGGUAUUCAACAGUUACAUAAGACAAAGAUAUGCAGUGAAUUAUAAGAAGAACAUAAAUGAUGGCUUACACUCAAUGUAUGUAUAAGGUCUAUGUAUCUAAUGUAUCUAAUGUAUAAGGUGAGCACGCAUAAAGUUAUUACAUAGCCAGUCCCACAAAUGAGUUUUUUCACACCGUACAUAAUUAAGCAUUACUACAGUACACUUUAGAAGUCAAAGGCAUACACAGGCUCCAAAACCAUGAACUGCACAAAAAUGGUGACAUUAAAGACACUGAAGGCAACAUCUAUGCCUCAGCUGGCUCUAAACUCUAGGACUGUUAGCAGUUGGCACACUGUGUUGAAGGAGUAAUCCCUGCAGUAUUUUCUUUCUUUCUAAAUUAACCUUUGUGUUCCUAAUCUUUCAAAUUUUGUCAGUUUCUUAACAAUUAAAGACAGCAGUGGAAACCCAAA